rnacentral:rRNA from 1 species
CACUGCUAUCGGGGUUCGAUUAAGCCAUGCGAGUCGAGAGGGUUCAGACCCUCGGCGCACUGCUCAGUAACACGUGGAUAACCUACCCUGAGGAGGGGGAUAACCCCGGGAAACUGGGGAUAAUACCUCAUAGGUUUCAGAUGCUGGAAUGCUCUGAAACCGAAAUGCUCCGGCGCCUCAGGAUGGAUCUGCGGCCGAUUAGGUUGUUGUUGGGGUAACGGCCCAACAAGCCCGUCAUCGGUACGGGUUGUGAGAGCAAGAGCCCGGAGAUGGAUUCUGAGACACCAAUCCAGGCCCUACGGGGCGCAGCAGGCGCGAAACCUUUACAAUGCGAGCAAUCGUGAUAAGGGAACCCCGAGUGCCUGAAACCAGGCUGUUCAGGUGUUUAAAAAGCACCUGGAGAAAGGGCCGGGCAAGACCGGUGCCAGCCGCCGCGGUAAUACCGGCGGCUCGAGUGGUGGCCGCUAUUAUUGGGCUUAAAGCGUUCGUAGCUGGGUUGUUAAGUCUCUUGGGAAAUCUCACAGCUCAACCGUGAGGCGACUAAGAGAUACUGGCAAUCUUGGGACCGGGAGAGGUGAGAGGUACUCCAGGGGUAGGAGUGAAAUCCUGUAAUCCUU